AUGUAUUGUCCAUUCUGUGGAUUCCAGUUUGAGAACUUGACAAAAUUUUGCUGUUCCUGUGGAAAAGACAUAAGUUUUGUACCAGCUAAAGAUGCUUCCACAGAACAAGAACACUCAAGAGCCAAGACAGUUGUUCAGCAGUUCUUCAAGUACCGUGAAGGUAAAGAGGCAGAAAGGAGGAUGUUCUCAAAAUCCAAAAAGAAAUCAAUGAAAACAGUGAAGAUUUCUGUUGGGAUCAUGAACAAACAAAAGACUGGCAUGAGACCCAUAAGAGGGAAAUCACUACCAUUACAUGUUGACCCAAGCUGGUCAUCUGAGAGGCUGUUGGGUGCUGCCAUUAAAAAACUGAAAGAUUUCAACCAAGAUAUGAAAGAUGUAGAAUACAUCCUGCUCUACCCUGAUGGCUCUCAAAUAAAAAAUAUUCCAGGAACUGACACACCCUUUACGAUUGAACUCUACAAAGAGGCCGUUGGCAAGUCUUACCAAAGAAUUACACUAUUUGUCUGCACACUUGAGGACUUUUUGUCAGAAUAUGUUAGUGCUUCAGAAGAUGAGGAGGAUGAUGAAGUUAUCGUUAGGGUACCACCCGUUACGUCACCCCUCUCUGACACAGUGGUAUGUAAAUCUCAAGGAUUCAUUAGUUCGAGAUGUUAG
ensembl:lncRNA